rnacentral:siRNA from 1 species
UUCUUAUUCAAUGGUAGCCAA